CCGGAGGUAAACCAUCCACCAGCUGGGUUGUUUUUGGUGGCAACAGUGAUAAUCAAGACAAACUUGACAAGAAAAAGGAUGUUGAAGCUGAAGAAGAUGAAAAAUUAUGGAGAGAGAAAAAAGAGAGCUUUGGUAGUACUAGUAAUGACAAUGAUAACAAGAAAGAAAGCUUUUUGACUAAUACUCCACAACUUGGUUCUUUGCUUCCUCAAUCAUCAUCUUCUUCUGAUCUAGGUAAGUUUUCAAAACUUAGUUAUACCAAAAU